rnacentral:lncRNA from 1 species
GCUGUCUACCUUUACAUCAAUUUAAGAGUUAUUUAAUUCUACAUGACAUGUGUUACUGCGUUUAUUGCCUUGAUCAACUGAAUCGAAAGAUCUAUAGACUUAACAGUGGUAUCGAAAAUUGUUGGACACACAUUUGAUUCAUUUCUUGUGCUAUCUAAAAUAGGAAAGUCAUGCAUACUGUCUAUAUCAAUAACAGAUAUAUUGUGGCUAGCUUUAACUAGCGGCACAAAGUGAUCUGGAGUCCAUAUCGGACUGCGCCCA